AAAGGAGUCGGUAACCUUGAAUUUUAGCAAACUAGAGAAGGAAGAUGUGGGUGUCCUUUCCUCACGCGUUAACAAGGAUGCUGUUAGGUUGUCUAUCUACUCUGAAUCCCUACUUAGGAGGAAAGUCACGUAUCUGGUUGUGCAAAUCAAAGAGCUUUGACAGUUUGUUUUUUGUUUGUUUUUAUUUGGGUGCAAUUUUUCUAGAAGACUAAAUAACCUGUAAAAGAUUAAAAACCAUGAUUGAGUGUGCCUAGAAAUAAAGACCACCCUUGACUGGGCUUUUUCUACCCAAGUCCAAGUGAACUGCUUUAUCCAUUUAGUCAAUACAUAUUCAGUGAUGCUGGUUAUUUACAAAGUAUUUUAUCUACAUUCUGUAUUAAUUCUCAACAGUCCUGUGAGAUCAUUGUUUAUUCUUGUUAAUACACAUAUACGCACACAGAAGAGAGAAGUGGGGAACCCCACAAGCCUUGAGAAUUUCAAGAAUUUGUGGAUUUCAGAAUGGUUGAGCAGCUCAUAGCUUUUCUAACACUGAACUUUUCUCUCUCCAAGUCCCAGUCGCUCGUCAAAAACUGUGCCAUCAGCGCAAGACCCUGUGAUUUCUGUGGUAUUCUAAUUUUAUCUGAGAUUUAUUAGAAUAUAUGAGGUGGAAAAAAAAGUUGUGCAACAGGAGAUUGGACUCUGGCAUCCCACAGCGUAUCUUCCCUGCCAACUUCCUAAUAAAGGGUGAACUCCAAAUAUUAAAAAGUUA
rnacentral:lncRNA from 1 species